AUUGAACGCUGGCGGCAUGCCUUACACAUGCAAGUCGAACGGUAACGGGCCUUCGGGUGCCGACGAGUGGCGAACGGGUGAGUAAUACAUCGGAACGUGCCCGAUCGUGGGGGAUAACGAGGCGAAAGCUUUUCUAAUACCGCAUACGAUCUACGGAUGAAAGCAGGGGACCGCAAGGCCUUGCGCGGACGGAGCGGCCGAUGGCAGAUUAGGUAGUUGGUGGGAUAAAAGCUUACCAAGCCGACGAUCUGUAGCUGGUCUGAGAGGAUGAUCAGCCACACGGGGACGGAGACACGGCGCAGACGCCUACGGGAGGCAGCAGUGGGGAAUUUUGGACAAUGGGGGAAAGCCUGAUCCAGCCAUGCCGCGUGGAGGAUGAAGGCCUUCGGGUUGUAAACUGCUUUUGUACGGAACGAAAAGCCUUCUUCUAAUACAGGAGGGUCAUGACGGUACCGUAAAAAUAAGCACCGGCUAACUACGUGCCAGCCGCCGCCGUAA
rnacentral:rRNA from 1 species